CACGUAGGGCGCAAGCGUUGUCCGGAAUUAUUGGGCGUAAAGAGCUCGUAGGCGGUCUGUUACGUCUGCUGUGAAAACCCGGGGCUUAACCCUGGGCUUGCAGUGGAUACGGGCAGACUAGAGGCAGGUAGGGGAGAAUGGAAUUCCCGGUGUAGCGGUGAAAUGCGCAGAUAUCGGGAGGAACACCGGUGGCGAAGGCGGUUCUCUGGGCAUUAACUGACGCUGAGGAGCGAAAGCAUGGGGAGCGAACAGG
rnacentral:rRNA from 1 species